UUCCUCAAAUCACUUGUGCUGAAACUUGCAUUUUUCCAUUUUUACGACAUUUGCCAAUAUUCCCUCCGCUCCUUCGCCACAGCAUGAGCACGCUCACAGCACGUUGUAUUCCAAGCAUCCGGUGUUGUGACUUUGUGUAUCGGCCAAAAACAAUAGCCAAUUAAAGGGUUCCACCUGUCAA